UCUCUCCUGCUAUCACUGCUGCUGCCACCCACCUCCAGGAAAGAACAGAAUCAGGGAAGUCACCAACACUGAAGCUGCAGAUACUGAUCAGAAAUGAGCUACGGCUAGUAAGAGACGCUCUCUCCAUGUGCCAGAAACACACUGGGACCGGAAACACCCCAGAUCACAGACCACAACUGGAACACAGACAACCACUGGGAAACGACGGCACCAAGGACCAUUUGGAACACCACACAGAAUCAGGAGGGACACCACACAGGGUCAGGAUCAACAGAGGCAGGAACAGGAUGAUAGCAGGGCAGGAUUUCACCCAGGGUCUGCGAUCUGAAGAAUUCACAUCUUGCAAAUGUUUACUCAUGUGACUAGUUCUCAUGCUAGUAAGCCCACUGAAGUCCAUGGCAGAAUUUGGUUUCUUUGAGACUCCUAGGCUGAGUAAGAGUUUGCAGGAUAGGGGCCUGAUGAAGACAUAAUGUGACAAGUGGUGAUUACAAACACUGGGAAAGCAAGGUUGGAGGACAAUCGUUACAAAAAUAUGGGUAUGUCUUGUGGAUUAUGCAUGUGUCAGAGAUGUGAUAUUAGUGGAUUUUGUUCCUUUCAUAGAUUACCAUAUAGAAGGUGGAUAUAGACAUCCAGAAAGGUGCAUUUUUUUUCUGGGCUUCAGGGCUGUUGAUAGAACUGAACAACCACAGCCAAGACUGCUUAUUGUCACAUAAGGCCAAGAUCCCUGGGAAUAACUGAGCCAUAGAGCCUAGCCUUUCCCCUUGUAACACCUCCCGUAUCAAUGGCAGCCUAGUGUUAAUCCCUGCUGUGUGACCGUUGGCUGGCCCCAUAACUUCAGCCACUGAUACCCUCUCUGUGAUCUGUUCUAAGAGAGGUACAACUUUAUAAAGAGGACUGAAGUAACUUAUGAUAACAUUUGCAUCACAAGUUCCUGUGCGCUGAAAAAGGACGUGUUCUGCAGAGCAGCUGGUCCUCUGACUCCAAUUCCUCUUCUGGGUCAAUCCCUUAGUCAUGUAGAGAUGAACUCCCAUGUAGAAGUCAUAUAUCAGAGUAAGGCAGUUGUACGGUAGUCAUCUUUUCUGUAUGUGUAGCAUAAUAUACUACAGUGAAAUGGACCAGAUGUGAGCUAGUCCAUCCCCAUCCCCAUGGGACACCCAGUCCUCCUUUCUUGAACAUAGUG